GUUUGUGUAUAUAAUGCAGUGUGUUUGUGUAGUGUAAUGCACACUACACAAACACACUGCAUUAUAUACACACAC